rnacentral:rRNA from 1 species
UACGUAGGGUGCAAGCGUUAAUCGGAAUUACUGGGCGUAAAGCGUGCGCAGGCGGUUUUGUAAGACAGGUGUGAAAUCCCCGGGCUUAACCUGGGAACUGCAUUUGUGACUGCAAGGCUGGAGUGCGGCAGAGGGGAUGGAAUUCCGCGUGUAGCAGUGAAAUGCGUAGAUAUGCGGAGGAACACCGAUGGCGAAGGCAAUCCCCUGGGCCUGCACUGACGCUCAUGCACGAAAGCGUGGGGAGCAAACAGG